GAUGAACGCUAGCGGCAGGCCUAACACAUGCAAGUCGAGGGGUAGUUACUUUCGGGUAAUGAGACCGGCGCACGGGUGCGUAACGCGUAUGCAAUCUACCUUUUACAGGGAAUAGCCCAGAGAAAUUUGGAUUAAUGCCCCAUAGUAUUAUUGAAUGGCAUCAUUUAAUAAUUAAAGUUCCAACGGUAAAAGAUGAGCAUGCGUCCCAUUAGUUAGUUGGUAAGGUAACGGCUUACCAAGACUAUGAUGGGUAGGGGUCCUGAGAGGGAGAUCCCCCACACUGGUACUGAGACACGGACCAGACUCCCUACGGGAGGCAGCAGUGAGGAAUAUUGGACAAUGGGCGCAAGCCUGAUCCAGCCAUGCCGCGUGCAGGAAGAAGCAUCUAUGGUGUGUAAACUGCUUUUGUACAGGAAGAAACACUCCCUCGUGAGGGAGCUUGACGGUACUGUAAGAAUAAGGAUCGGCUAACUCCGUGCCAGCAGG
rnacentral:rRNA from 1 species